ensembl:lncRNA
AUGUCCUGCUCACGUCCUGUUCUUGGCCCGUUCAUGGCUUGCUUGCAGCCCGCUUGGUUCCUGCUCGUGGCCUGCUUGGAUUCUGCCCAUGUUGUGUUCAGGGCUGCUCGUGUCCUGCUCAUGGCUUGCUUGCAGCCUGCUCAGGGCCUGGCUGUGCUCUGUUCAUGUCCGGCUCAGGGCCUGUUUACAGCUGCUUUGUGGCCCUCUCAGGUCCUGCUCAGUCCUGCUCAGUUCUGCUCAGUCCUGCUCAGUCCUGCUCAGUUCUGCUCAGUCCUGCUCGGUUCUGCUCGGUUCUGCUCAGGUUCUGCUCAGUUCUGUUCAGGUUCUGCUCAGUCCUGCUCGGUUCUGCUCGGUUCUGCUCAGUUCUGUUCAGGUUCUGCUCAGUCCUGCUCAGUUCUGUUCAGGUUCUGCUCAGUCCUGCUCAGUUCUGCUCAGUUCUGCUCAGUCUGCUCGGUUCUGCUUGGUUCUGCUCGGUUCUGCUCGGUUCUGCUCAGGUUUUGCUCAGUCCUGCUCGGUUCUGCUCGGUUCUGCUCAGUCCUGCUCAGUUCUGCUCGGUCCUGCUCAGUCCUGCUCGGUUCUGCUCGGUUCUGCUCCUCCCAGCCCAUCCCUCCCUCUCCUGCGGUGCCUCUCGGUUCUGCACAGCGUAGGAAGGAAAGCGUUUCUGUACCCGAAGCGGCGUCUUUGUGUCUCGCUGCCUGCUGGAAGUUGGAGGCUCUCUGUCGCGUUGGUGCCGGCCGUCCCGGGCAGCGCCUGCUGCUCUGCGGCUUUCUUUUACCAAAGCCCUCAGAACCAAAUAGGGAGCAGCGGCAGCCCUGGCCUUCGUCUGCCGAGCGCUUUGUGUCACCCAGGGGCGUCCCGGCGAUGCUCCUGCUGCCCCGGCGCAGGCUGUGCUCCUUGGCUUCUCUGCCCCCAGCUCGGGGCUCCCCGCUCCCCCCGUCCUCCAGCUUGAAGGAAAGUGUUAACCUUUCUGCACCGAAUACCUCAGUUGGGAACCAGAGCUCACAAAACUUGAAUUAUAAGGUCCUUUUUGAAGAUCCUUUUCAGUGUUCUGCAGAGAAGAACUGGAAAAAAAAGAGAUUUGUUUACAUGGCCGCCGAGCCGCGCUGGCCGCGUCCUUCAUCUCCCGGCUCCUCGCCUUUCCGUGGGGUGGGAGAAGGGGUCCAGAGUCCGGCACCGCGUGGCCACGGAGCCCCGGCCGUGGGGUGGUGGCGGAGCUCCGGCCACAGAUGCCGGCUGGCCGCUGCGUGUCGGUCGCAGCUUUUCCUGUACCCAGGGCGAGAGAAUUCCUUAGAGCACACAGAGCUGCUUUUCCUUCUCUCCUUUCGAUUCUUUUCCCGGUGUGGUUGUGUUUGUCAGUUUCUUUUUCCAAACCCGAUCUCUUCUGCCUUCUGUCCGCGCCGCGCGUUGCCCCCCGUUGCUCAGCGCGACGGCGAAACGAUGAGACAAUCAGUGUGAUCUCUGCAAGGGCUUCUCCAUUUCCUCUCCGCAGCACCGUGCUUCACGUGGACGCGUCCUUUGCUCUUAGCGAGGAGUUUUUUCUCCCCUCCCCUCGUGUCUUAUUAUAAAUAACGAUGAUAAUAAUAAUAAUAAUGACAGUGGAGUGAAAUGAGGUUUCAGCAGCGCAUCCACGGUUUGGGGGCUGGGGGGCGAUGGGGGAGGGGAGCGCGGCCGCGUUCCCUGCGGGUCCCAGUCUUGUUCUCCUUUAACGCUGUAUUGUAUACAUUUGACAGCACAGCUUGACAAUUUAAGUAAUAAUCAAAGUGUUUGGUAAUAAUGCAUUAUUUUGCUAAACGAGAUUUGUGAUGGUUUCCCAGUGCAUUGUAAGAGGGAUGGAGGGAAACUUCCGCUGCCGCCCGCUCCUCCCUGCCACCUCGAUGCCAAAGUUGGACCAUUCCUGCUUCGCGUUCCCUUCGGCACACGUUUGGUGCAGAGCUCACCAAGCAGCGACCUUUCG